UACAGCCAUAUCACGGUGGAACACCGGUUCCCGCACGAUCACCCAAGUUAAGCAACAUCGCGGUUGGUCAGUACUGUGAUGGGUGACUUUUUACGAAUACCAGG